UCCACAGAGAUGUUAUGAAAAAUAAAUGAAAAAAACAGAUGAAGAAUUUGAUCAUAGAAGAACUAUAUAAGCUCAUGAUAAGGAACUGGUAUAAGGAUCUCAGACUGACAGUCUCAUAAAAGUGUUCAUCCUGGAAAGAGACACAGAGAAACAGAGACAAUCUAAUAUUGCUUACAUUAGGUAUGGGAUUGAAGUUAGAAGAUUUAUUUUCUAUGACUAGAAGCUGCUUUGGUCAGGCUCCAAACCAUACAGAGCCAAACAUUCCAAAACAAUUGUUUUCCAUUCUUGCCUGCCAUCCGCAAAGCAUUUGGAUGGAUAAAGAAUAAAUGUAUUUAGUUUUCCUUAGCCAAUUCAGAAACCACACAUUUUCUCCUCAGCCAAAAUCUGGAAGAUAUGUUCAAAGGAAUGAAAUUAGAAGCCCUUAAACUUGAUCUAUGUAAAAGCAAUGAAUUGAUGAGAAAGAGGCGUGACUCAUAAUUUAUGUGUUUCUUUGCUUGAUAAGAAACAUGCCCUUAAAUUACAGAAAGAAAAGGGGUGGCAUAUUUUUUAGCACUCUAGACUCCAGUGCAUGCUGAGUGGCAUAUGAAAUCACUCAGCCUGGGAGCAUUUCAGUUAACACUGAGGCAGAAGAAACCUUCUUUUUGAAGCAUUGGCUCAGAGACGUUUGAGACCAUGCAAAUUGUUAUCAUCAAGGGGAUUCAAGGUGAUGAAGCAAAUAACAUUCAUGGGGAAAAAAUCUACUUUGCUUUUGACUGGCCUACAGCAGACCUUUUCUGUCUCCAAAGUUUAUUCUUUGUUAGUUAGUUUACUUACUGUAUAAUGAAAAGAUCACGAUUUGGAUUAGGAUCACAGUAUUUGAAGAUUUAGCUUUUUCGUCUUAUUUUCUUCAUUUCAGAAAUCCAUCCCCAUGUACAAAAGAUUGUUUUAAGACAAAAAAAAUCCCAUGCGUUUACAUUACUGGAAAGCACAUGCAGAAUAAGUUAAAUGCUGGUGCAUGGUAAUGGAGAAUGAAAUAAUGCAAAAUUAAUUGGUGAGGAAAAUUUUUGUCACCUUCAUUGUACAAAAUACGAAAGGUUGACUUGCACAGGUCCAAUUAUAAUUGCAAUUAAAUGAAUCACCACUGGGGCAGUGUUAUCAUUUUAUGAAUUAUGAUUGGAUGCACCCAGGAAAUAACACAAUUCCACCAUGCCGGAGAACAAGACAUGAUAAAUUAGACUGGCAAUAUCUUCAUUGGUCAAUGAAAUAUUGUAGAAAUGAACAGAGUCAGAGAUAGUUAAAAUUGUCUAUUGUCUCAAUUUUAAGGUAAAACAGUAGCAUGAUUAGUCUAUACAAAACUCAUAAUGACUAACUAAUAUAGUUUAAAUAUUAUUUUAUAUUUAAUAAUUUAAGAGUAUUUAAGAGUUAAGCCAUAAUGAUGUAGAAAAUUGGACAUUGGACUGAAAUAGAAAAAAAUAGCUAUCAACUCUAUCCUCAGGCAUAGAAGUCCACCAGGAUAGUUCUGAGGCACUCAUCUUCUCUUAACCCAAACUACAUCUAUGGCUGUGGGCAGAAGAAAAUAUUGGCAGCAUCCAAGUUGCUGAGCACCUACAGAAAAGAUACAAUAAUUGAGGGGAAGAAGGCGGGGCUUAGCAGUGAGAAGACGGAGUUUCAGGCUAUUCCUGAAAUUCCUCUAUUCCGGAGGAAUUUUGGACGGGUCAUCGGACCCUAGCUGUCCCGGAGAAGACAGUGAAAGGUGAGGGGAGAUCCAGUGACCUCAGAGACGUUCGCAAAGUCUCUGGGGGGGCUUGGAAUUAACCCCUCCUGCCAACUCCUUUCUGGAUUAGCUGUAUGCUAACUGAAACUGCAGGUUGCCCCUAAGAAUGGUCUAAGUGGAUUCAACUGGUAAGCUGAUUUUAUUACUCAAAGAGAGACGGUCCGCACUAAAAUUUAAGCUAAUUGAAACCAAAGAACAGAAGAAUCUAGCGGCGAAUUGGUUUUUUUUUAAUGGAUUUAUGGCCGGUGGUUACCCUAUUUCUUAAACGCUUUAAGGAAUUCUUCAACAUUCCCCCCUGACUCUUUCUAAGUGGGUUGUAAAAACUAACCUACUACUAAUUGGCCCUUCAUGAUCUGACACUUUUAUUGCUUGGCUGUGUUGGUCUAAGAUCAGAUAAGAUCGCACAGCUCCCAGUGUGUUUUUACUUGCAAAUACCUUAGAAUCUCUAACUGCAACACAACAUGGUGUCGAAUUAUACUCCCAAGGGCUCGCUUCAGAUUCUUUUUUCCGCAUUUCGGAAGCUGUUUGAUUCAUAUCAAAGAUUUGAAAAAAAAUUGGAUUAUUUGACAUUAAAAUAUGAAGGAAAAGGUGAGAACGUUGAAUGUUUGAAUGUUCCUGAAAUACAAAUGAAAAAUGUGAGAAAUGACGUCUGGUCUAUCUCGGAGGAAGAAAGGAAUGCUAUGCUGGAAAGAGGGGGAGCUAUAAAGAAGACUCAUUUUAAGAGACAGAGCGCAGGAGAAAUGAAAAUUCCACCCUUGAGAAUUAAAGUCAAUUUGAAAAGUUUAACAAGCCUGGGACAACAUUAUUAUCUCAUCAGAGACAUCCUGAGCAAAAAGGUGCGAAGAUAUCCCUGUUUGGACUUGCUUAUAAAAACAUUUGGUAAAUCUAUUCAACGAAUGGCAAUAGGACUGAGAAAGUUUUGUUAUUGGAGAGACAUAGGCUGACAGAUGGAAGAAUACAACUUAAAAUUAGCUAAAUCUAAUUACUCUUAUUUGUAAUAGAUAUAGCUGAAUAAUAAUUGAUAUUGAUAGUAAUGUAUAUAAUGUGGAGUUGAUAUGAUAAAUAAUAAUUGGAUAUGAGAAAGGAAGGUUGGAAAUACUUUUGGGCUAUAUAUAAAGGUUAUUAAUCACAAUAAUUAUCACUACUAAAAAUAAAAUAAAAUAAUAAAAAUACAAUGUAGUAUUCUCCACAAAACCUUCACAUUCAACUCAGUUCAAGAAGUCUGAAAUAACUUUAUUAAUCCUAAAAGUGAUGGAAGGGUAGCAGGAAUACAAAUUUAUUUCUAUUCAUAUUUCCUUCCUAUUUGUGGUAGGAUAUAAAAUAUAUGCUUUGGUUGGUUGCCUAGUUAGCCAGUUUUAUAUUUUUGUCCACCUAUCAAGUUCUUCCUAAGGACCUGAGGGAGCAAAUGUUGUUUUGCAAUUGAAAGAUGGUGAUUUUGUCAAUACUGAUGGCAUUGGCGGUGCUCCAGAUAUUUUGGGAUUGCACCAAGGCACCUGUUAAUAGUAUCUAUCUUUGUACUGGUACUAGUUUUGCUUUUGUUUGCUUCAGUCAAAACACUAUUUGCAGGUCUUUGUAUUUGGUGAUUUUUCUCUAGUUCUUUCUCUUCAAUUCUUUUGUCUUCAAAGUUUUUUGUCUUUUUUAUCAACACUUGUUAAAUCUGAAAUGUUACAUGGCAGGUUCUUAUCUGUUUGACUUCUAAAGCCCGGAAGCAUUUGAGGACUUUUGGCACCCAUGCUCAUUUUCUGUUUUUGUCUAUUUUGUGAUCCCGCCAUGGUAUCUCCUGCAGAUAUUCCGAAGCACCAUUGCUGUUAUGCCAUUGUCUGUAGUCAGUCUGUCUGAUCUUCUUGCAGCAAUUAUUAUUUUGCAUGACUUGUCUGAUUAUAUAGAAAUAUAGCAGGCUGAAGUAAGGCAAAACAAAUAGAAAUUCAACCACUAUAGAUAUUAUCCAUCUUCCUAAAACCUUUUUAUGAUACAGUCAAUCACAGGCAGUUUAGACAAGAAUGUCAUAGAACACCAAAAGAGAUGUGAGAUGCAGUUUUAUUCAGUAGUGCAUUUCUCUGCAACAAACUAGGGAAAUGUAUUAUUCUUUUAUUCUGUUGUGAAAAUUUACAUAGAGCACAGGACACCUGAAACUAGUAAAAAUGGCUGUUCAUAAGAUUUGUCUAAAUUAAAGGGACAGCUGAAUAGUAAUAAAAAAACCCAAGCAAGAAACUAUAUUGUUGUAUAAAGUCCAGCAUAAGCUGUUAGUAAUGUAUAAGAAAAUGUAAGCGAAAAGGAAUGUGUUUCUUAAUACAAAUAUUAACUCUCAUUCCAUGCUAAAUAUCUAUGAUGCAUAGUAUGUUCACCCAAACGCCCGUCAAAAAAGCUAAACAUAAAUGAUACAGUGGGCGAGAAGCCUGUACUGAAUAAGCUGCAGAAAGCUGUCCCAUACUAGGGAAGGUGAAUCCAAAGUGGUAAAUAUAGUAAUUGUUUUUUAGUCUCUCACUUUUAUGCACAAGCUUCUCAGAUCAGCAUUUAAUCAAUAUGGCCUAUGGUUAUGAUUGUGCAAUAAAAUAAUCAAUUGUUACAUUGUCUGAUUUUGGUCUCCAGCAGGAGGCAGAAAUCUAUGGCUUUGUCAUGAUAAAUUAUUGCUAUUA